rnacentral:tRNA from 1 species
GGGCACUUAGCUCAGUUGGGAGAGCGUUUCCUUCACACGGAAGAGGUCGCAGGUUCGAUCCCUGUAGCGCCCACCA